UUUAAGUUUUAAAUCCCGAACCUAGGCGAGCUACUUUAAAACAGCCUUUUGGGCCAACCCGUCUCUGUAGUAACAUAGUGGGAAGAUUUUUAAGUAGAAGUGAAAAGCCUAUCGAGCCUAGAAAUAGCUGGUUAUUCAUGAAAAGAAUAUAAGUUCUGCCUUAAGUUUCCCCCAUGGUCCCUAACAACAUUUUAAACUUAAGAGUUAUUUAAAUAAGGAACAGCUUAUUUAAGACAGGACACAACCUAGACAAUAGGGUAAAAUUUUAAUUACUCCCAAGUGGGCCUGAAAGCAGCCACCUUUUAAAAAGCGUCAAAGCUUAACCUUAACUCCCUAAAAUACCAUUAACCUUUAUGAACCCCUAAUUUAUAAUGAAUGACUCCAUAUAAUUAUGGAAGACACCAUGCUAGGAUUAGUAACAAGAAUUUAUAAUUCUCCAAAAUGCAAACAUAAACCAAUAUGGAUAAACCAUUGGUAAUUACCGAACCUGAACUUACUGCAAUAACAUCUACAAGAAAACCCUGCAGUAUUUACUCGUUAACCUAACACCAGCGCAUUUCAGGAAAGAUUAAUAAAAAGAGAAGGAAUUCGGCAAAUGACGACCCCGCCUGUUUACCAAAAACAUCGCCUCUUGACUUAUAAAUAAGAGGUCCAGCCUGCCCAGUGANNNNNUUUAACGGCCGCGGUAUCCUAACCGNGCGAAGGUAGCAUAAUCACUUGUUCUUUAAAUGGGGACUCGUAUCAACGGCAUCACGAGGGUUAUACUGUCUCCUCUUUUUGAUCAGUGAAAUUGAUCUUCCCGUGAAGAAGCGGGAAUACUUAUAUAAGACGAGAAGACCCCAUGGAGCUUUAAACCAAAUAGCAAACUUACCAUAUAUUGCCCAAUAACUUUAAGCCCGUGCUACAAGGUUUUUGGUUGGGGUGACCGCGGAGUAAAGCACAUCCUCCACGACGGAAAGACUAUAAUCUUUAUUUAAGAACUACAAUUCUAGAAAUUAGUAUACUAACGUUUACUGACCCGAC
rnacentral:rRNA from 1 species